rnacentral:misc_RNA from 1 species
GUGAAGAACGUAGCGAAAUGCGAUAAGUAAUGUGAAUUGCAGAAUUCAGUGAAUCAUCGAAUCUUUGAACGCACAUUGCGCCCGCCAGUAUUCUGGCGGGCAUGCCUGUUCGAGCGUCAUUACAACCCUCAGGCCCCCGGGCCUGGCGUUGGGGAUCGGCGGAGCCCCCCGUGGGCACACGCCGUCCCCCAAAUGCAGUGGCGGUCCCGCCGCAGCUUCCAUCGCGUAGUAGCUAACACCUCGCGACUGGAGAGAGGCGCGGCCACGCCGUAAAACACCCAACUCUUCUGAAGUUGACCUCGAAUCAGGUAGGAAUACCCGCUGAACUUAAGCAUAUCAAUAAGCGGAGGA